CUCGUAGGCGGUUUGUCACGUCGACUGUGAAAUCCCAUGGCUCAACUGUGGGCGUGCAGUCGAUACGGGCAGACUUGAGUACUGCAGGGGAGACUGGAAUUCCUGGUGUAGCGGUGAAAUGCGCAGAUAUCAGGAGGAACACCGGUGGCGAAGGCGGGUCUCUGGGCAGUAACUGACGCUGAGGAGCGAAAGCAUGGGUAGCGAACA
rnacentral:rRNA from 1 species